GAAGGAUUGCCUCAAUAUUGUUUUGGUCCGUAUUCCCUUUUCCAUUUCCAUUUUUAUUUUCCUUUUCCUUUCCCUUUCCCUU
rnacentral:ribozyme from 12 species